GACUGUUCUAAACGAACAAUUGAUUUGCUGCUACUUUUAAGCAAAUAGAAGCUGUCAGCAGCCUUAAGUGACUAGACGGUGGGACCCAGGUCAGAGUUCACAGUAACUUGCAUGUGUGUGAGGUAAGAAGUAAAUGUACACAUGCGCUAGUAGCAUGAGUCAGCAUUAUGAACAAUACGCAUGCGCGGGCCUAAUAAAAGGACAAGUGCGUACACCUGAGGGUGCGCCACCCGCUUGUACUGCAGUAAAGUGCUGUUUUGCUCUAUGUCAGCUCCUCACGCCUUCCAGUUGGGCAGCUCACCUCCUCGGACCCCUCUCCAGCCUCCUGCGGCUGACAGAAGCACACAUUUUUUUUUCUUGGCAGGAGACAAAAGUUUUUAACAUUCAUAGAUAUUUCCUUGUUGGUGUUUUUGGGUUAAAAGAUGGUAAAUUUGUAAGAGUUUACUGAAUUGACAGUAUAAAUACAUUUAUUUUCUAUUGAUACUGUGUUUUGCUCUACCUUCUGGAAGGUUUCUACAUCUUUAGCAUCCAAAUCUUCAAUUGAGUAUUUUAUUUCUUCUACCAUCCUUUUAGUAUUCAAGAUCACCUCCCUCCCGUUUUUUUUUUUUUUAAACAUUUUCCUUUUUAGUGAGCCUAUGCUUCUGACUAUAAACUUCACAAGAGUUUCUCAGUUUUUUUCUCCCUGGUGGGACACGAUAGCAGUAGCUGACUAGAGUUGGGUAUUCCCCUUUCCCUAGGUCAAUCAGGCUUUGAUUGUUUCCCAGCAGGCUGGAAUCUGCUUAAUUGGUUUCUCCUGAGGGCAGCCCUUUUUAAAGCACGGAGUGUUGGGGCAAGAAGUUUCAAAAUGGCUUCUUUUCCUCUCUCCUUGCUGGAAGCUCUGGGUGAUUUUUCUCCGUUUUUUACUGUUAUCCCCUGGUUGAACUCCUGGAGGUAAAACUAAAAAAAACUGUGAAAGUCCCCCCGUGACUAGGGGCCCUGGAAGAGUUGUCCACACUCCAGUAGUUAGUCAGUUCCAGUUCAGUUUGUCCUACCUGCGUCAACACUCGUUCCUGGUUUCGGUGGCUGUUUCUGCUCUGGCAUCUCUGCCCAGGUGAAGAAACUGAGGCCUGGGUUGAGGAAGUGAUUUGACCAAGAUGGCAUGGUUGCUUCUAUAUGUUAUAAAAAGUUGAAGACUGCUAUCGUGGUGGGACUGUACAAGAGACAGAUUAAGCGUGUUUACAAGACACCACAAGGUGCUAUCCAGUGGCUCCCCUGGGUGUCCAGCCUGCUGACUGAAGAUCUUAGGACUUCUCAGACUCCACAAUCACGUGAGUCAAUUCCUUAUAAUAAAUCUCCUUCUAACUAUAUGUCUCUCUAUCCUAGUGGUUCUGUUUUUCUGGAGAACCCUAAUGCAGUAAUAAUAAUUACUAACACUGAGUGUUUCUUGUACUGGGUGCUAGUCAGAUGUUUUAUGUUUACAUAGAUCAAUGUAUGUAAUCCUCAUAAUGAUUGUAUAAAAGAAGCUAUUAUGGUCAUCAUUUUAAAGAUAAGGAAAUUGACAGAACUAGUUAGAGGUCAGGUCAGGUCCAAGAUUCUCAUUCAUUCAGUCUACUUCCUGCACUCACUUGCUUACCCCCCACUCCAUAGUAAUUCAAAAAAUGAUUAUGAUUAGGGCCAAUAAUGGAGGCAGGGGGACCACUAGAAGGCUCUUGCCAAUCAGGCAGAAGAUACCACUGGCUAAGACUAGGCUUAGAGCAGACUGUAAUUAGAUAGUGGAAGGUGUGGGGUGAGAGGCAAGUGCCAAACACAGUGAUGGGCAUGCAUUAUAUUGAAAAGAAAAGAAAAAAACAAACAAAACAAUAAAAAAAAAAUCACUGAGAUUUUUGGAAUUAACUUGUUUACUCUAGUAUACCUAAACUAUCCUCUCAUGAUUUUGAU